rnacentral:rRNA from 1 species
CCUGCAUGAAGUCGGAAUUGCUAGUAAUCGUAGGUCAGCAUACUACGGUGAAUACGUUCCCGGGCCUCGUACACACCGCCCGUCAAACCAUGAGAGUUGGCAACACCCGAAGUCGGUAGUCUAACCGCAAGGAGGACGCCGCCGAAGGUGGGGUUGAUGAUUAGGGUUAAGUCGUAACAAGGUAAC